GUUGAAACCUCUUUCGCAGGGACGAAGCGAGAGUGACGGUACCUGCAGAAGAAGGACCGGCCAACUACGUGCCAGCAGCCGCGGUAAUACGUAGGGUCCGAGCGUUGUCCGGAAUUAUUGGGCGUAAAGGGCUCGUAGGCGGUUUGUCGCGUCGGGAGUGAAAACUCAGGGCUCAACCCUGAGCGUGCUUCCGAUACGGGCAGACUAGAGGUAUUCAGGGGAGAACGGAAUUCCUGGUGUACCGGUGGAAUGCGCAGAUAUCAGGAGGAACACCGGUGGCGAAGGCGGUUCUCUGGGAAUUACCUGACGCUGAGGAGCGAAAGCCUGGGGAGCGAACAGGACUAGAUACCCUGGUAGUCCAUGCCGUAAACGUUGGGCGCUAGGGGUGGGGACCUUCCACGGUUUCCGUGCCGCAGCUAACGCAUUAAGCGCCCCGGCUGGGG
rnacentral:rRNA from 1 species